rnacentral:rRNA from 1 species
CGUGGCUUCCGGAGCUAACGCGUUAAGUCGACCGCCCUGGGAGUACGGCCGCAAGGUUAAAACUCAAAUGAAUGACGGGGGCCCGCACAAGCGGUGGAGCAUGUGGUUUAAUUCGAUGCAACGCGAAGAACCUUACCUGGCCUUGACAUCCACGGAAUUUGGCAGAGAUGCCUUAGUGCCUUCGGGAACCGUGAGACAGGUGCUGCAUGGCUGUCGUCAGCUCGUGUUGUGAAAUGUUGGGUUAAGUCCCGCAACGAGCGCAACCCUUAUCCUUUGUUGCCAGCGAUACGGUCGGGAACUCAAAGGAGACUGCCGGUGAUAAACCGGAGGAAGGUGGGGAUGACGUCAAGUCAUCAUGGCCCUUACGGCCAGGGCUACACACGUGCUACAAUGGCGCAUACAAAGAGAAGCGACCUCGCGAGAGCAAGCGGACCUCAUAAAGUGCGUCGUAGUCCGGAUCGGAGUCUGCAACUCGACUCCGUGAAGUCGGAAUCGCUAGUAAUCGUAGAUCAGAAUGCUACGGUGAAUACGUUCCCGGGCCUUGUACACACCGCCCGUCACACCAUGGGAGUGGGUUGCAAAAGAAGUAGGUAGCUUAACCUUCGGGAGGGCGCUUACCACUUUGUGAUUCAUGACUGGGGUGAAGUCGUAACAAGGUAACCAAGGGCGAAUUCCAG